rnacentral:lncRNA from 1 species
UUCUCACCCACAAUACUGAAGAAAUGGGAAACAGUACUGUUGACAGUGCUACCAGGACCCAGGAACUGGGCCACCCACCCACAUGGAGUGGAAACCAGAAGACUCGCCAUUGCUUCAUAUGCUGCCUGAAGCCCAGCAAGAGAGGGAUAGAUUCCCAGAUCCUCCACAACAGCUGGCUUCCUUACUCCUGCCUUCCAGAAUUUUUCUACUUCAGUCUUUUCCACACUGGUUGAACAUGCAUUAAAUCCAGCUGAUCAAAGGCCUUGAAAGGGUAGUUCCUCAGAAGAAGAGCAGAACAUGGGUCUGAGAGCAAAAGACAAAUACCUGCCUGGCACAGUUUACAGGAAUAAGCUCACACACAGGAAGAGGACUGUCAGUAGUCAUCCUCUACAUCAAAAUACCUGGGAUGUGCUACUACCUGGGAAGCAAGGCACUCGAGAACAAUGAACCUGAACAACUUGAGAUGAAGCCAAAGAAUAAAGAUCUGUAUUUGUGUUGUCCCUUCCUCCUGUGUUCUGCUCAACAAAGACUUACAACUGUCCCCUUCUCUUGUAGUUACCCUUUGGUCUUGUCUGUGACCCCCUCACCAUCCUGCAGUAAGACUGGGUGGCAGGGGGAGAACGCAGUGAUGGCUAUUCUUCUUACCUCUGGAGGGGGCACCCAGGGAAUGCCAGGAAGAGGAGAAGUAGCAGCCAACUCUCUUAGGAAACUGAAGACAGAAAGUGUGUGUAGGAGUUAAGUUUGUAAAUCCUAGUUAGCCACAGAACCCAGAAUGGUCCCCUGAAGAUUCUGAAGCUGGAUUCAACAAUUGGCACCACAGAACAUCGAACUGCAGAUCGGACCAGACCUAUUUGGAUGGCACAGACCCUGGAAGAGCUCCAGUAGACUGUCCCCAGCAAUUGUGUUUUCUGUGAUUUGCUUGUUUAGACCCAUGUAAUAAUCCAAUGACCAUGUUGCACACUGGUCCUCAGCCAUUUCAAUUGGCAUUUGUCAAUCUGUCCUUUAAAAUGUACUCUCAACUUGUCCUGCUAACUGCCAUGCCCAGUGGUCACUUUCUGUGUUUAUUGUACUUGGCUGUGCUGUUAGUUGCAUGGAACACUGCUGAGCACCUUCUUCUUCUUUGAGGCUUUCCAGCCUUCAUAUGAGAUAAUAUUUUCAUUGUUUUUCCUACUAUUUUUUUUUUUGUACUUGGAUUUGAACCCAGGGACGCUUAACCACUG